AAAAGUCGUAACAAGGUUUCCGUAGGUGAACCUGCGGAAGGAUCAUUACCGAGUGCGGGCUGCCUCCGGGCGCCCAACCUCCCACCCGUGACUACCUAACACUGUUGCUUCGGCGGGGAGCCCCCCAGGGGCGAGCCGCCGGGGACCACUGAACUUCAUGCCUGAGAGUGAUGCAGUCUGAGCCUGAAUACAAAUCAGUCAAAACUUUCAACAAUGGAUCUCUUGGUUCCG
rnacentral:misc_RNA from 1 species